GAAGUAAAGUUCAAAUGCUGGUGAGCUGGCUGGUUGAGUCAGUCCAGUCAGCUGGCUCAUUACUUCUCUCUGCUCUGCUUUCUGCUCAUCAUCAUCACUCUGCUUCAGACUCUCUGCUUGGUUCAGAUCACCGUGGUGUUCCAGUCCCAGUCCACCCUGCAGGAGACCAAACUGAAGGAUCUGACACACAGACUGGAGAAGCUCAACCAGUCAUAUCGCCUCCUGUUCUCCCAGUAUCCAGCUCUGAACCAGUACUGCCCAGUCAGCAACUCCACAA